AGUCUUAUAUUCAAUUAAUGAUUUUAGAUUGCAAAUCUAAAGGUAAAGAUAAUCUUUUAAGGCUU
rnacentral:tRNA from 1 species